AUUGAAGAUAUCGCAUGUCUCUCAAAUAAAAAUUGUGCCGUAGAUAAUCCGAUGAAUCUGGCGAAUUUUUCGACAGCUCGCAUUAAAAAUAGAUUUUAUUUUAGACAAUUACAAUUAUUUUUUCUUUUUUUUAUACUUUAUUCUCCGUAUUUCGUCGUCUGUAUUCUCAGUUAUUCUGUACAUGUCUGGAGGGAGUUCCGAAAGCCAGUCCAUAUAUCGCAUAUCUUGUUCGAACAACCUCUCCUCCCACAUACCAAAAGGUUGCCUGGCUCAUUUAGAUCUUUAAAAACCAUAAAAAUCAAGUCCACACGUUUUCCGAAACACAGUAGUACGUGAUAAUACUUACAUGAUUUGGUCUAUCAAUUCUUUUGCAGUUAUUCCUGGCGGAAGUUCCCACUCUUGAUUUUCUUCUACCGAUUAUAAAGAAAAAAAUUAUUUCUAUUAGAACUCGUAACAUUGCUUUUAAAAACGCUUACUAGACUGAUGUAAAGAGUAGAAAUGGAAAACUUUAAAGUCGAGCUACUACAAUGUAAUAAAAUAUUACAAAGCAAUCCGAGCGUUUAUACGCCAGCUAAACAUCUGCUUCCCCGAAACAAUUGCUUUCAAAAGCUUUAUUUUAACUCCGAUUCAGACCCAACUUGUUUUCUUGAUUAAAGAAGAAAUUGUAAUGACAAUUAAAAAUCAAAAUGAAAAUUUUGAUAGGACAAUUGCUGAGCUUGACACACAAUAUUACUUGUGUCUUUAAUGACAAGAUUAAGGAAACUGUCAUCAAAACGCAGGCGAACUGUUCGGCAUAAAAUUGUAAAUAUUUGAUGCUGAAGAGAAGGAAGACCAAUAAUUUUCUUAUGUACAAAAUAUUUGUAAUUAAAAUGACUUUUAUGCUUUAGAAAAUUGUUAAUUUUUAAAAUACUACUUUUUAAACACCUUUUCAUUAUUAUAUCAGGAAUGGUUAGGAAGUUAAUGUUUUCUAAGAUAAAGUAUAAAAUUUGACAUUUUGUACCGAGAAAUUAUACAAUACUGAAUUUAAAGUUAUCAGCAAAAACUUAUCAUGGUGAAAGGAGGACUUUAUAAAAUAAUUAAAAUCAAAUAAUUUUUUUUUUUUUUUCAAAUCUCCAAAUUAACUGUCAAC
rnacentral:lncRNA from 1 species